rnacentral:lncRNA from 1 species
UGUGUGUGUGUGUGUGUGUGUGUGUGUGUGUGUGUGUGUGUGUGUGUUUGUGGGCACGUGGGUGUUGUCUUGAUUAUGAGGUCCAACUCCUGAUGUGUUCGAGUCGGCUCUGGCAACCCGAAGGUGAUUUAGGGAUUAAAGUUAUUACGAGGCUUACAGUUUCUCGAGGCAGAGGCAGUCAGUGUUGAAUUUCUUCAGAGGCUGGAGCAUCUGAUGAUUGAAGGUUGGAGGAGGUCAAAUCUUUUUCUGGAUCAGUUUUCUGAAGCUGAAGGAAUUUAAUAAAAAAGGAACCAUGAAUGAUACUUUUGAUUCUGCUGAUCAUGAGUUAUUGAUUAACAAAGUCCCCUUUAUGGAGUAAGAGGAUCGGCCCUAAUUUGCCUUAGUAGUUAUCUAGAAGACAAUAGUAUGUUGAAAUAAACCAGGUAAAGCCGUUAUUAUUUAUCCUGUACUUCAGUAAUAUUUAUAAAAUGUCCGGUCUGUUAAAAACUAAGACUCUUCCAUUUAAGAGAUCAUAACUAAAUGUUUAUGAAACCUGCUGUAAGAACAAAUAGUAAACUUCUCUGUGUCUCAACAAGAUGGGUUCAAAUAUGGAAUAAACUAAUAAAAUUCAUUAAAAAUUGUCAAUCCAUAAAACAAUUCAAAGGUAUUAUAAAAGGGGAUGUCAUAAAUAUAAGUAGGUCAACACGAUUAAUUUUGACUUUAAUUUUGACAAGACUCAUUUAUUAAUUUUUUAUCAUAAUGGAUUUGUUUCAGUAUUUAUUUCUUGUAAUUCUCCCCCCAAAAAAAGUUUAUAUAAAUUGAAAUUUGGAAUAAAUUAAAUAAAGGGUCUUUAACAUCACUCUGCUGCCAUGUGGAAAGGAAAGGAGAUGUUUGGAACUGGUCUGGUGGUUGUUGUUGGUUAAUUAGAAUCGGUUUUGUGUUUGGAGGUAAACUAUUUGGGGCGGGGUUUCAAUGGUUUCUCUGACAGGCACUCUGUUUCAGGACUCCAUCAACAACAACUCCUUAGGGAAGAAGGACAGCUGGAAGGAAUCCAGAUCUUCCUCCCCACUCAUCACAGGCGAUCUAACACCUCCGGAUGUCAGGCCAAAAGCAGAGGACAAAGUCCGGCAUGGUGCUCAGCGCCGGCCGGCACCAAAACCUCCCUCUGGCGCCGGAUCCAACCUAAGAUCCAGCACUCAGGCCACUGCCCCCUCGACAGAUACACGAGCUCGGACACGAGAGCGGCUGGCCCCGGUGCCCCCACAGACCUCCAACACACCGAGGAGUCAACGGAGAGCAGCAGCAGGAGGAGCAGGCAGGGGAGCAGGAAGAGGAGCAACCACAAUGAGGGAAAAAAACUUGGGGGAACUCAAAGGGAAGGAGGGAUCCAUGGACAGAAGAGGGGGUCGACUGUGUGAGGAGACCAGGACCAAGGACAAGGACCGCAGUCAGAAGCAGAGGGAGGCCAGCACACUGAAGGGCCGGGGGACUGAUGGGAGAGGGAGAGGAGCCCCCAAAGUGAGCAACAAGGGAGGCGUCAAGCCAAAUAACAAACUCUCCAACAAGGAGGUUUACCUGCCGUCCAUGGUGGUCCCACGAACACCUGUCACUCAGAGGAAGAAGAACCAGGACCAAGGCCAAAACCAUGACAGGACCCAGGACCCUCCUGUGCUGUCUCGGUCCAGCAGUGAGGGGGGCUCCAACAGGAUGUCCCUGAGCUCAGACACAGAGGGCCCCCCUCCUGGACCGCUGCAACCCCCUCUGUCCCACAUCACCAACCCAGACAUCAGUGAGGAGGACGGAGAAGGAGAUCCGACUCCGUGCCUGCAGAACGGUCCGACCCGCAGCUUUGCAGCAGGAGACGGAACCACGGCGAGCUGCGAGGUGGAGGGAGGCGGUGCUGUGAAGCGGGCUGAGGUUCCGCCGGAGGCUGCAGCCGGGCUCUGCUAUGACUCCAUCAAGUACACGCUGGUGGUGGACGAGUGCGCUCAGCUCGAGCUGGUCAGCCUGAGGGACUGCACGCGCAGGAACGAGGACAGCGAUGCUGAGACUGUGUACCAGUCGGCCAAUGAGGAGGAAGAUCCAGAGUACGAGGUGGAGAGGCAGAAGAGCGAGGAAGCAAGCAAGCAAGGUACGCGUCUGAUGUUUUUCUUUGAACUGGGCUUCAUCAAGCUCAAUUUAAUACAGUUUUUGAAACUCAAAUCCCAGGUUGUAGAUUUCUCACAUUUUCCAGUUCUGUUCCAUUUAUGGAUCUUUGCGAUUUCUGAACAAACUGUGUUUUUUUCUCAGUCCAGUCAUUUUUUUUAG